rnacentral:lncRNA from 1 species
UUAUGCCCAAAAUUUCAGGACGUGCCUAAAGUAGAAAGGAUAAUUAGCCUUGGAAAUAUGUACCCACCCCCCAAAAGACACUUUAGUGGCAACUGCUGUUUUCAAAGGCAUAAUAAAGAUGCUUGGAGAUGUUUGAAAAUACGGAAUAUUAAAUAUGGUUUUACAGCUCCUUCCUUCCAAUUGCUUUAAAAUGUCAGGAACGGGAAAAAGUUAUAAAAAAUCCCGACAAAAACGGGGAAAUUCUAACUUUUGUGGGACAUCUAUACUGAAAGUCCGCUGGCGUUUAUACUUUCAUUAAUUAAAUAUUUUAAUACUUAAACCUAUCAAAAAUACUUACAGAAAUGUUUCACAAAUAAUGGUGCCGUGAAAGUGGCAGCUGAAAGAGGUCAAACCAAGUGUCAAACGAUAAAAUAACGGAAACGAACAGUUUAUAUAUAUAAUGCGCAUGUUUCAAAAAUCCGUUUUAAAAACGAAAGACAACCCAUGUUACAUCCCCUUCCAUUGUUUUUAACGUUUUUCUUUUUUUAAUAAAAAAAUCUUUCUUUCUAAUUAACCUUCUUUUGUUUUCAAAUAUCACAUCAUGUAAAAUAUCCAGCAAUUUUGUCUCUUGUCUCAGCAAUGAUGUGAUAAGUGACUGACAUUGAUGGUUUAAUAGGAUGGCAUUAAAGGCGGAAAUGACGUCAGAAGGUCUCUAGGCGCUGUCUGUUCAUUCACCAAGCGUUAAACUACGCAGGUGUCCUCUGUCAAUUUGCAUAUGCUUGCUUGUUUGAGUUAAGAAGAGAUAUUUUCCGUUCUCUUCUUCUUUGUGAACGUCGUGAUACAAGCUGGAGAAGUAAGUCAGAUUCCGACAUUUUGAGCAAGGGAGAUUCCGAUUCUGACAAAAAGACUCUGCAUUCUUUUUUCUAAAAUUAUAUUUUGAUGAUGAAUGCAGUUGAAUUUGUUGCUGUUGAUGAUGGGAAUUGUGACUUUAUUACUUGUCACAGUUUAGGCGGUGGUCAUAGUAAUGAUGAUGGUGGUUAAAUACUUUCCCAUUUAUGUUAAUUCAAAAAAAUGUACAUUAAGUUGCAAAAUCUCUUAUGUUCUAUUAUUUUAUUCUGCUUUUUUAUUUCCGAUUGAAUAUAUUUUUAUAUAUUUAAAAAUUGGAAUUUUGGAAGCUUGAAGUUUCGGGAAUGAGGCCAACCGAAUGGAAAGGGCAAGUGACGUCAACAGCCGGAAGAGGAAACGAUAAAGUGAGGCUGCUGAAGACUAACUUGGGUCUUCUGUCCUCUGGGCAGUCGUGGUGAACAGAUGCGUUUGGACGCGAGGCGAGCGGGGUAUGGAUUGAACGCUACUGGAUAGCCAACAUUAAGAGAUUAACAGAUGACAUUUUUUCUCAACUAAAUGUCAGCUCCUCUGAAACACCUUAAAAUCAUUUCAUCCAAGGAAGCAUUUGCACUAAUUCCACAACCCAGUUAUUGGAAAGGUUUUAUGUAUUAUAAACUGGUGCCAAUUGAAACAUGAAUUUCAAGGGCUCAAAGAACUUGGAAUACUAACUUUUGAAACAAUUCAGGGAAAAAUGAGAGGAAAAUCAGUUUUAAAAUAUUUAUUAUUUUCAGGAGGGACUUUCAAUGUAUUGAAUGUGUUCCUGAUAAAGUGCAUAUUUUGAAGUUCAGCGCACUCUCUUAAGAGGAGAGUCACAAGUUGUACAAAGCUAAGGAUUUCUUUUUAUUUUCUUCCUGCAUUUUCUCAUUGAUUGCAAAUUUCAAAAUCAUUGCUAUUUUUGCAUUUGGACAAUGGACAUGCUUAACAAUUUCUUUUCAGCAUAUGCUGUCCAAAUGAAAAGUUUGCUUAUUGCUAGCCUUUGCAAUUACAUUUUUUUAAGCACCAAUAAUAAUUAUUCGCACGUUGAUGAAUGAUUAAGUUACCAUUUUGAGAGAAUGGUUGGCCACAGAUAUUACAGUAAAAUAUUUUGCUCCCAUAUGAAUACGUUUGUGAGAUGUUAAGCUACCGAUCUAAGAGAAUGGUUUACCACAAAUGUAAGUGAUAUGGCUUCUCUGUGUGGAUACGUUUGUGUUUAAUGAAGUUACAUUUUUGGUAAAAUAUCUUCUUAGAGAUAUCACAGUGUUACGAUGUUUUACUUGUCCUUUUCUUUAUACCCUCAGGAGAAUCCUUAAAUUAUGCUUUAAAUUUAACCUCAUUCUCCUACAAUUUAUUUUCCGUACUUAUUUCUCUUUGAACCACAAUAUUGAACUCUGUUCAUAGUUGUUUCUUAACAAAUAUUUGAAUUUCCACCAACUAUGAUCUUUAUCAAUAUGUACAGCUCUUACAAGCUCCUCUGUAAUUUGUAAUCCAUGUUCAGUUAACCUGCAAAAUCAUCUUGUAGAUAUUCUGGAUAGUGAUUAAGCGAGAUAUUGCUAUUUCUCUGUUCACACGGAAAACUAUUAGAGAGUAAUUCCAUCACAGAUUUACAUCGAUCAAAUUAUAUUUGUUCUGCAUAGACAUCUUUAUGGUCUUUAAAAGAUAAUAAAUAUUGAUGAUGUAUCUGAUGUAGACAAUUGUUCGAUGCCAAUGUCAGAUAAUCUGAGAUAACAAACAUCAGUGUAAGACUUAGAAGAUACAUGAAAUGUAUACACACAAAUGCAUUGUAUGCAUGCAUUAGUGUUCUGUUUAUAUAUUUACAGGUAUAUGCACAUACACACACAUAUAUACAUAUACAAGGAAUACUGAAAAGGUAUUGUAAAAGGCCUGAUUGGGUGACCAAUCUUCUGAGUUCUUUUACAGGGCUUAGAAAAAUGUAAGGACCACUGCAAUAAGUGUGUGAAUCUGAGAGGGGGGAAUAUACUGAAUUGAAUCAUAAUUAACUGAUUCCUACUGUAUUUUCUGUUACCCGAAGCCCAGAACUUUCAGCACCCUUUUGUAUGUGUGUACAUAUGUAUAUGGACGUUAAACAAUGAUGUGUGUGUUUGUGUGUAUGUCCAUGCUCUCCCGUGCUGCAGACUGAUUUUGUCAAUUUCAUAUGGCUGGAUGCCUUUCAUGUCACCGACUCUCAUCUGUUUCCAGCUAAGGUAAUAUAUUUCCCUUGUUGGAUAUAUUUUCAUGGGAGACUGGAAACAAAUGAUACCAUUUGCAUGAUGGUAACACUCACCUACAGCCAUCACUCUGUCAGGAAAAGGAAACACUAACACAUAUAUGAUGAGCUUAUUUCAGUUUCUCUUCACAUAAUAUUCGCUAUACUUUGGUAGACCAGAGCCUUUAGUAAACAUCACUUGCCCAAGAUGCCAUGUAGUGGGGAUGGACCCAAACUCUAUUUAACCAUGUAGCCACACCUGUGCCUAUAUUUUACCUGAAUUAUGUUAAUGGCACAAAUGUCUUUGGAAUACAUGUUAAUUCAGUUGACCAAACAACUGAAAACUCUUUGUCAAACGGUGGAGAUCUACCCACAUUAUAAAUGUAUAAACCAAUCUAAAGACCGAAGUUUGAUUGAUUGAUUAGACUCGUGUACUUGCUUAUCUCCCUUCGUCUUCACUCUGCAUAAUCCCGAUAUACAACUUAGAUAACUUAGAUUGGUUUCAGCUAUUGUCGGCCCAGGCUAUGACUAACUCAAAAGCACUACCUAGAAAAGUCUUUUAAUUAUUUCAGGAUACUAUGAACCACUCAAGCAGAGUUGUUGUUGACUCAGACAUAUCCAGGUGUAUGUGUUUUAUCCGGUAUUUCCUGGAGGAAUUUGUCCAGGUACUGUUUGAAAGCUAUGGGUUUUUUUCUACUUUCGGAAUAACAUUGAAAAGAGCAGGACCAUUUGUAGUGAAGAGAUUGUGUUGCAAUGUUCUUAUGUAGGGGACACAUUGCACAGGGGCCUAGUCUUGGGUGAAUUGCAAACAUAAUACCGAUAUCAUUUGCAUAAUAUUGGUGGAAUAUUUUCCACAUGGUGCAAGUAAUAUAUUUUUCAUGGUGGCGUUGCAGAGAAUAGGGUUUCAGCUGUUUAAGUCGAGCCCAAUAAUCAAGUCUUGUCAUGCCAUUUAGUUUUUUAGCGCUUGAUUUUUAUGGUGCUUCAAUCCUCAUUAUGUCUUUUUUGUAGGGGGACCACAAUGGGCAGCAGUAUUUGAGGUGGGGCCUAGCAAAUGUGGAGAAGAGAAGGAUGAUGGUUUCAUUGAUCACUAGAUUGAAAAGUUCUGUGGAUCCAUGAGCACACUCCAGCUACAGUUGCUGUCGGCAGUUACACCUAAGUUUCUCAUAUUAUCCGACGGUUCAAGUAGAUCUGACAGAAGUGUAUAUGGUUGUUUGAGUGUGUCCUCUCUUCCAAAGUGGACGAGCCCAAAUUUUUCUUUGUUCAGCUGCAUAUUGUUCUUUGUUUGUUUUUUUGUGCCCAGUGGGUUACUGCGCAUAGGUCCGAUUGAAGCAUCAUUUGAUCAUAUGCUCCCUUAAUGACUUUCUGAAGCUUAGUCAUCUGCUAAUAUUUUAAUGGUGCUAUUUUCAGUGGAAUCUGCAAUGUCAUUGAUAUAGACAAUAAAAAGUGGACCCAGCACAGUACCAUGCAGGACUCUGCCGAUGAUUUUUUGCUGGUCUUGAGUGGAUGGCAUCAACCACAAUACGCUGGGUCCUGUUUAUUCGGAAAUACUUAAUCCAUUGAAGUAGCUUUCCACAGACUCCAGCGUUGGAUAGUUUCCUUAACAGUAUAUUGUGGUCAACUCUGUCAAAGGCCUUGCUGAAAUCAAGGUAAAUGACAUCAGCAUUGGAGCCCUCACUUAGUGCAUUUAAGAUGUCAUCAAAGUGGUGGAGGAGGAGCUGUGUUAGACAGUCCCUCCCACCAUGAAAGCCAUGCUGGUUGCAAUUUAGAAGAUGACUUUGCUUUAGGAAGGCUGUUAUUCUUGAGCUCAACACUCUCUCAAGCAUUUUGAUGAUAUGUGAGUUGAGUGAGAUUGGACAGUAGUUUACAAGAGGAGAUUUAUUCCUCUUUUUAAAGACAGGAAUGACUGACUGGGAGAGAAAGUUUUGAGGGAUAAAACCGGCAUCCAGUUAUCUCCUCCGGAGAUUUGCAAGUUGCUGUCUGCAUUCUUUCAGCACUAAAGCAGGGAACAUGUCAGGACCCACUUCUGAUUCAUGUUUGAUUUCUUUUAUUGCUGUUAUGAUGUUAGUAGCAUUGACGGUUAUGUCAGAAAGGACAUGCUGAGAAUUCAAUGAAGCAAAGCUGCUUUGAGUCAAUGAAAACAGAGCAGUUUUGACUUUGCAGAAUCUCAGACUGUCAACCAGUGGGCUGAUAGAGGAAACUGUGGUCUUAUGUGUUUUUGCAAAAGAGUGUAGUGAAAAAACUGAAAGAACGGUUGGUCUAUACUGGCAUUUAGUCACCAUUUUAAGUGAAUCUGUGUGAACAGGAUCACGUUGGCUGUACAGAUCAGAAGGGCUGUAUGAAUCGUAUCACGUUGGCUGUACAGAUCAGAAGACUGUAUGAAUCGUAUCACGUCGGGGUCACCAGUUUGUAAGAACGAUUGUACGAACCAAAAGGAGAAAUGGUGACGAAUGGAAAAACAGGGC